rnacentral:rRNA from 1 species
CCUUUGACGUUAGCGGCGGACGGGUGAGUAACACGUGGGUAACCUACCUAUAAGACUGGGAUAACUUCGGGAAACCGGAGCUAAUACCGGAUAAUAUUUCGAACCGCAUGGUUCGAUAGUGAAAGGUGGUUUUGCUAUCACUUAUAGAUGGACCCGCGCCGUAUUAGCUAGUUGGUAAGGUAACGGCUUACCAAGGCGACGAUACGUAGCCGACCUGAGAGGGUGAUCGGCCACACUGGAACUGAGACACGGUCCAGACUCCUACGGGAGGCAGCAGUG